rnacentral:rRNA from 1 species
AUUGAACGCUGGCGGCAUGCUUUACACAUGCAAGUCGAACGGUAACAGGCCGCAAGGUGCUGACGAGUGGCGAACGGGUGAGUAAUGCAUCGGAACGUGCCCAGUCGUGGGGGAUAACUGCUCGAAAGAGCAGCUAAUACCGCAUACGAUCUAUGGAUGAAAGCGGGGGACCGUAAGGCCUCGCGCGAUUGGAGCGGCCGAUGUCAGAUUAGGUAGUUGGUGGGGUAAAGGCUCACCAAGCCAACGAUCUGUAGCUGGUCUGAGAGGACGACCAGCCACACUGGGACUGAGACACGGCCCAGACGCCUACGGGAGGGAGCAGUGGGGAAUUUUGGACAAUGGGGGCAACCCUGAUCCAGCAAUGCCGCAUGCAGGAAGAAGGCCUUCGGGUUGUAAACUGCUUUUGUACGGAACGAAACGGUCUGGGUUAAUACCCUGGGCUAAUGACGGUACCGUAAGAAUAAGCACCGGCUAACUACGUGCCAGCCGCCGCCGUAAAAC